GAGGGUAUAGCUCAAGUGGUAGAGCACAUGCUUAGCAUACAGAAGGUCCUGGGUUCAAUCCCCAGUACCUCCU
rfam:Camelus ferus unplaced genomic scaffold scaffold813, whole genome shotgun sequence.